AUGUACAGUCCUCCUUCACUCCUCUGUACACUCCUCCUUCACUCAUUUGUACACUCCUUCACUCCUCUGUACUCACCUCCUUCACUCCUCUGUACACUCCUCCUUCACUCCUUUGUACACUCCUCCUUCACUCCUUUGUACUCACCUCCUUCACUCCUCCUUCACUCAUUUGUACACUCCUUCACUCCUCUGUACACUCCUCCACUCAUUUGUACACUCCUUCACUCCUCUGUACUCACCUCCUUCACUCAUUUGUACACUCCUUCACUCCUCUGUACUCACCUCCUUCACUCCUCUGUACACUCCUCCUUCACUCCUUUGUACACUCCUCCUUCACUCCUUUGUACUCACCUCCUUCACUCCUCUGUACACUCCUCCUUCACUCAUUUGUACACUCCUUCACUCCUCUGUACACUCCUCCUUCACUCAUUUGUACACUCCUUCACUCCUCUGUACUCACCUCCUUCACUCAUUUGUACACUCCUUCACUCCUCUGUACUCACCUCCUUCACUCCUCUGUAUACUCCUCCUUCACUCAUUUGUACACUCCUUCACUCCUCUGUACACUCCUUUUUCACUCCUCUGUACACUCCUCCUUCACUCAUUUGUACACUCCUUCAAUCCUCUGUACUCACCUCCUUCACUCCUCUGUACACUCCUCCUUCACUCAUUUGUACACUCCUCCACUCCUUUGUACUCACCUCCUUCACUCCUCUGUACACUCCUCCUCCACUCAUUUGUACACUCCUUCACUACUCUGUACUCACCUCCUUCACUCCUCUGUACACUCCUCCUUCACUCCUCUGUACACUCCUUCACUCCUCUGUACACUCCUUCACUCAUUUGUACACUCCUCCUUCACUCCUCUGUACACUCCUUCACUCAUUUGUACACUCCUUCAUUCCUCUGUACUCACCUCCUUCACAACUAUGUACACUCCUCCUUCACUCCUCUGUACUCACCUCCUUCACUUCUCUGUACACUCCUCCUUCACUCCUCUGUAUACACCUCCUUCAGUCCUCUGUACACUCCUCCUUCACUCCUCUGUACACUCCUCUGUACACUCCUCCUUCACUCAUUUGUACACUCCUUCACUCCUCUGUACACUCCUCUUUCACUCCUCUGUACACUCCUCCUUCACUCAUUUGUACACUCCUUCACUCCUCUGUACUCACCUCCUUCACUCCUCUGUACACUCCUCCUUCACUCCUCUGUACACUCCUCUGUACACUCCUCCUUCACUCAUUUGUACACUCCUUCACUCCUCUGUACACUCCUCUUUCACUCCUCUGUACACUCCUCCUUCACUCAUUUGUACACUCCUUCAAUCCUCUGUACUCACCUCCUUCACUCCUCUGUACACUCCUCCUUCACUCAUUUGUACACUCCUCCACUCCUUUGAACUCACCUCCUUCACUCCUCUGUACACUCCUCCUUCACUCAUUUGUACACUCCUUCACUCCUCUGUACUCACCUCCUUCACUCCUCUGUACACUCCUCCUUCACUCAUUUGUACACUCCUUCAAUCCUCUGUACUCACCUCCUUCACUCCUCUGUACACUCCUCCUUCACUCAUUUGUACACUCCUCCACUCCUUUGAACUCACCUCCUUCACUCCUCUGUACACUCCUCCUUCACUCAUUUGUACACUCCUUCACACCUAUGUACACUCCUCCUUCACUCCUCUGUACUCACCUCCUUCACUUCUCUGUACACUCCUCCUUCACUCCUCUGUAUACACCUCCUUCAGUCCUCUGUACACUCCUCCUUCACUCCUCUGUAUACACCUCCUUCACUCCUCUGUACACUCCUCCUUCACUCCUCUGUACACUAUUCUGUACACUCCUCUGUACACUCCUUCACUCAUUUGUACACUCCUUCACUCCUCUGUACUCACCUCCUUCACUCCUCUGUACACUCCUUCUUCACUCAUUUGUACACUCCUUCACUCCUCUGUACACUCCUCCUUCACUCAUUUGUACACUCCUUCACUCCUCUGUACUCACCUCCUUCACUCCUCUGUACACUCCUCUUUCACUCCUCUGUACACUCCUUCACUCCUCUGUACACUCCUCCUUCACUCCUCUGUACACUCCUUCUUCACUCAUUUGUACACUCCUUCACUCCUUCUUCACUCAUUUGUACACUCCUUCACUCCUCUGUACACUCCUCCUUCACUCAUUUGUACACUCCUUCACUCCUCUGUACACUCCUCCCUCUGAUCUGGACACAGACUGGAUCUGGUGGCUACGGUGA
ensembl:lncRNA